UACGUAGGGUGCAAGCGUUGUCCGGAAUUAUUGGGCGUAAAGAGCUCGUAGGCGGUUUGUCGCGUCGAAUGUGAAAACCCGGGGCUUAACUCCGGGUCUGCAUUCGAUACGGGCAGACUAGAGUGUGGUAGGGGAGAUCGGAAUUCCUGGUGUAGCGGUGAAAUGCGCAGAUAUCAGGAGGAACACCGGUGGCGAAGGCGGAUCUCUGGGCCAUUACUGACGCUGAGGAGCGAAAGCGUGGGGAGCGAACAGG
rnacentral:rRNA from 1 species